CACAAAAUUUAAAACUUUUAUUAGCCCAUCAAAAUUUUUAAAAUGUGUUUUCUACAUUAGACCACGGGGAUUUCAAAGCUGUCAAGGAUCUUAUUAUUAUGUUAAAUGUUUUUUAUAUGAUGUUUCUGCUCCACUAAGAGAAAUAAAAAAUAUGAACCAACCGUGAGUCGGAAGAGGUCACCAGACGGGGUGGCGUUAUCUCCCUCAGAAGAAUACAGCAUCAUCCACAACAGAAAUAACAGUAACAACCAAGAGAACGCUUGCACAAUGGGUUUCUCAGACAAGUCUCUUAUUGUACCAACCUUUGCCAGCAACUGAGCUCCGUUAAAGCUCUGACAACGUAAGUCGAGUGACGUAUGACAAAGUUACGACGUCUCGACUGAGCGUAAUUUCUCGGGCCUGGUAGCGGGAGUGAAGCAAGGGAUGCCAUGGUAACUAACACACUUUGUUCACAGCAUCAAU